AUAACGAUACGGGACUCAUCCGAGGCCCCGUAAUCGGAAUGAGUACACUUUAAAUCCUUUAACAAGGAUCCAUUGGAGGGCAAGUCUGGUGCCAGCAGCCGCGGUAAUUCCAGCUCCAAUAGCGUAUAUUAAAGUUGUUGCGGUUAAAAAGCUCGUAGUUGAAUCUGUGUGCCACGCUGUCGGUUCAUCGCUCGCGAUGUUUAACUGACAUGAUUGUGGGACGUCCUACCGGUGGACUUAGCCUUUCGGGGCGGUCCAGCUAAUAUCCCAUCGCGGUGCUCUUCAUCGAGUGUCGAGGUGGGCCGGUACGUUUACUUUGAACAAAUUAGAGUGCUCAAAGCAGGCUAAGUUCGCCUGAAUACUGUGUGCAUGGAAUAAUGGAAUAGGACCUCGGUUCUAUUUUGUUGGUUUUCGGAACCCCGAGGUAAUGAUUAAUAGGGACAGAUGGGGGCAUUCGUAUUGCGACGUUAGAGGUGAAAUUCUUGGAUCGUCGCAAGACGGACAGAAGCGAAAGCAUUUGCCAAAAAUGUUUUCAUUAAUCAAGAACGAAAGUUAGAGGUUCGAAGGCGAUCAGAUACCGCCCUAGUUCUAACCAUAAACGAUGCCAGCUAGCGAUCCGCCGAUGUUCCUCCGAUGACUCGGCGGGCAGCUUCCGGGAAACCAAAGCUUUUGGGUUCCGGGGGAAGUAUGGUUGCAAAGCUGAAACUUAAAGGAAUUGACGGAAGGGCACCACCAGAGUGGAGCCUGCGGCUUAAUUUGACUCAACACGGG
rnacentral:rRNA from 1 species